UAAUCCUUGAGGGACCACCAGUGGCGAAGGCGUCUCACCAGAACGGGUCCGACGGUAAGGGACGAAAGCUAGGGGCACGAACCGGAUUAGAUACCCGGGUAGUCCUAGCCGUAAACGAUGCUCGCUAGGUGUCAGUACACGGUGCGACNGCUGAUUGGUGCCGUAGGGAAGCCGUGAAGCGAGCCACCUGGGAAGUA
rnacentral:rRNA from 1 species